UACGGGAGGCAGCAGUGGGGAAUAUUGCACAAUGGGCGCAAGCCUGAUGCAGCCAUGCCGCGUGUAUGAAAAAGGCCUUCGGGUUGUAAAGUACUUUCAGUCGUGAGGAAGGUGUUAAGGUUAAUAACCUUAGCAAUUGACGUUAGCGACAGAAGAAGCACCGGCUAACUCCGUGCCAGCAGCCGCGGUAAUACGGAGGGUGCGAGCGUUAAUCGGAAUUACUGGGCGUAAAGGGCACGCAGGCGGUUAAUUAAGUUGGAUGUGAAAUCCCCGGGCUUAACCUGGGAAUGGCAUUCAAGACUGGUUAGCUAGAGUCUUGUAGAGGGGGUAGAAUUCCAUGUGUAGCGGUGAAAUGCGUAGAGAUGUGGAGGAAUACCGGUGGCGAAGGCGGCCCCUGGACAAAGGCUGACGCUCAUGUGCGAAAGCGUGGGGAGCAAACAGGGAUUAGAUACC
rnacentral:rRNA from 1 species